rnacentral:rRNA from 1 species
GACGAACGCUGGCGGCGUGCUUAACACAUGCAAGUCGAACGGAAGGGCCCUGCUUUUGUGGGGGGCUCGAGUGGCGAACGGGUGAGUAACACGUGAGUAACCUGCCCUUGACUUUGGGAUAACUGCAGGAAACUGGGGCUAAUACCGGAUAGGAGUGCCGACGGCAGGGUGGGGGUUGGAAGGUUUCGGCGGUUGGGGAUGGACUCGCGGCUUAUCAGCUUGUGGGUGGGGUAGUGGCUUACCAAGGCUGUGACGGGUAGCCUGCAUGAGAGGGUGACCGGCCACAUUGGGACUGAGAUACGGCCCAGUCGCCUACGGGAGGCAGCAGUGGGGAGUAUUGCACAAUGGGCGGAAGCCUGAUGCAGCAACGCCGCGUGCGGGAUGACGGCCUUCCCGUUGUCAACCCCUUGCGCCUGUGACGAAGCGUGCAUGACGGUAAUGGGUAAAGAAGCACCGGCUAACUACGUG